CUGAGAUAGUGGAGGGUAAUCAUGUGACUCUGACCUGCAGCAGUGAUGCUAACCCAGCAGCUACUUACACCUGGUACAAGGAGAAUGAAGACAUGUUCCAUGUUGCAGGAAGUGUUUAUAACCUCCACUCUAUCAGCCAUCUAGACAGGGGAUACUACGUCUGCAAGUCUGAGAAUCAAUAUGGAUCAAUCAUGUCGACUCCUCGACUUCUUGAUGUCCAGUGUGAGUAAAAACAUAAGAAAAUCUGAUGUCAUGGUAACGCAGGAUUAAAAACUCCUGUUUAAAAUAUCUUGAUGAAAAACUUGAGUUUCGUGUUGACAAAGUCUAUCCGUAGUUCAAAAGAUAAUGGUAGUUGCAUAAGACUUUCUCACAUUAUCUAUAACCUUAAAGGUAUAUUUCACUAUUUUUCAAGUGAGGUUGUAUGAGUUAUAUGUCAUUACUGCAGUCAGUGUUUUAGCCACAUUGUGUACUGGCCAGCUCAGCCUCUUUCCUGAGAACCUGUGGAUAUAAACAGGACACUACUGUUUCUGCAGAUGGGGCCAACUCUGAUGCAUAAUUUUGCUCAUUUUGAGCGACUCUGAUCCAAGCCCUCAUCUUUGUCUGUUUUUUUUUAACACUUUGAAGUACAAUCAGAAAGCCUGUUUUUGCACCAUCUGCAGGUGCAUCACACAGACAUGCUCCUCUGCAUCCAGUAAUAAGUAAGCUCAGCGAAUUGGAUCUUUGAUGCAAGUCACUGGUAUAUUGAGAAUUUUGGUCUCAGUUUUGCAUGAUGUUCAACACAAAAUGCUUCAGAGCACCUGGCGGAUACAGUGAUGUGUGUAGUUUGUUAUUUCAGCACAGUCUCCCUCUUUAGGAGCUAAUGUGGUGCAUUUUGAUCAGAUAAACAUAUCCUGUGAGCAGUGGGUUGAGUCGUAGUGUCUGAGGACUAAGUCUGUGUGUUGUGUCCAAAUUGUGCAAAUACAAAUGGGCUUUCUGACAAUAAAUGCCUAACAAAUAUCUGGGAAGAGCUUAUGCAUUCAUUAUGUUGUUACAAGUGACAGAGGUUUCUCUAAAUCUCCUCCAGAUGCUCCAAAACUUCCCUCUGUGUCAGUGAGUCCCUCUGCUGAGAUAGUGGAGGGUAAUAAUGUGACCCUGACCUGCAGCAGUGAUGCUAACCCUGCAGCUACUUACACCUGGUACAAAGAGAAUGAGAACUCAGCGAAAGCUUCAGGACAGACCUUCACCAUCACUGAGUUCAGGGCUGAACACAGUGGGAGUUAUUACUGUGAAGCCCGGAACAGAAGAGGACGCCAAAAAUCUGCCUUACAUGAGAUUGUUGUUGCUGGUGGGAUUUAUUACUUACUUAUUUUUACCAAUGCAAAUUUAGCAUAACUGUAAGUCAAGCACAGCCCACAGUGCAUUAAAGCCAGCUCAUAUCAGCUGAAAGCUCAGCUGGUCACCCCAUGUGUCUUUGCUGCUGCUCUCCCUGCCUCGGCUUUGUGUGUGCAAAAGACUUGAGAUUACCCAAAGAGCCACACAGACAAAUAAAGCUUAUCAAAUGAAAUUAACUGCCCCUGUUUGACAGGAGUGGUCUUGACUGAGUGUGUCUCAUGUCCCUCUUCAAUUCUAGGGGACUCAACAGUAAACAUGAACAUCAUCAGGCUGACUGUGUCCCUCUUGGUGUUGAUUCUUUUGCUCCUCCUGAUUCUGUGGACCAGGUAUGACCAUAAAAGUAAUUAGGCCAAUUAUGUCUCAUCCACCAACCUUAUCACUUUUAUUUAAAUGGUGUUUCCGUUUUGUCAAAAUGUGAAUUUGUUGAUUUUCGACUUAAUCAAGGAGAAAGACAAGUCUGUGCAUCACCUGUAAACCAAAUGAGAUAAUUGAGGUAAGAAAUUUGAAUUAAUUUAAAUUAUUGCUAAAAAUAUACUACUGUAAUAAACUGAAUAUUAAAACCACACAAUUAGACAGAUUGAGGUACGGCAAGACAAGAGUGGAGCAACUCAGUACUUCAUGUCAACUCAACCUAUAUGCAUAAUGUCUCAUAAAACGAUUGAGUUUCCUGCUUUUAUUUUGGUACUUUUCUAUCCUGCUUUUCGGUUGAUCUAUACCCUGCAUUGUGCAACUAUGCUUUUAUUUUGAAAUGAGCUCCCUCUGAAAAAAGGUAAGAUACAGACACAGAGAGAGAGAGAGGAUAGUUCAUGAUUUAAAGUAAAAGCAACAAGCAGAGACCGAUCAUGUUUUGUUCAGUGCAAAACAUCAGCAUUGUGAUAAAACUCAUCGUCUGUCUUCAGCAGGACUUUCGUCAUGAGUAUGAGAACGACUCAGCCAUCACUGUGGCACAGACUGGAGACAUAGGGGAGCAAGAAGACACGGUGUGAAGUCCAGUUAGGUGAGAGUCUUCUGCACUGAAGUCAAAUGAAUGAUUUGGUUUGCAUUGUGACAGUUUUGACUUUUCUUGUUUUUUAAAUGCAGGGUAACUUGUGGCAGGACCCAGCGUGGAGUUCCAGGGUAAAGCUGUGGAUGAUGUGGAAACAUCAUCAUCAUCAUCUUCAGCCUCAAAAAUGUCUUUCAGCUUCACAAACAGCAGCACAAAGAGAUUAUAAGGGUUGGAAGAAGAAAAAGAAAGCUGAUC
rnacentral:lncRNA from 1 species